rnacentral:rRNA from 1 species
CCUACGGGAGGCAGCAGUGGGGAAUAUUGGGCAAUGGGCGCAAGCCUGACCCAGCAACGCCGCGUGAAGGAAGAAGGCUUUAGGGUUGGAAACUUCUUUUGGCAGGGAAGAGCAGAAGACGGUACCUGUCGAAUAAGCCACGGCUAACUACGUGCCCGCCGCCGCGGUAAUUCGUAGGUGGCAAGCGUUGACCGGAUUUACGGGGGGUAAAGGGCGUGUAGCCGGGCUGACAAGUCAGAUGUGAAAGCCGGGGGCUCAACCCCCGAACUGCAUUUGAAACUGUUGGUCUUGAGUAUCGGAGAGGCAGGCGGAAUUCCUAGUGUAGCGGUGAAAUGCGUAGAUAUUAGGCGGAACACCAGUGGCGAAGGCGGCCUGCUGGACGACAACUGACGGUGAGGCGCGAAAGCGUGGGGAGCAAACAGGAUUAGAUACCCUGGUAGUC